AACGAACGCUGGCGGCAUGCCUAACACAUGCAAGUCGAACGAGACCUUCGGGUCUAGUGGCGCACGGGUGCGUAACGCGUGGGAACCUGCCCUUAGGUUCGGAAUAACUCCCCGAAAGGGGUGCUAAUACCGGAUAAUGUCUUCGGACCAAAGAUUUAUCGCCUUUGGAUGGGCCCGCGUUGGAUUAGCUAGUUGGUAGGGUAAAAGCCUACCAAGGCGACGAUCCAUAGCUGGUCUGAGAGGAUGAUCAGCCACACUGGGACUGAGACACGGCCCAGACUCCUACGGGAAGCAGCAGUGGGGAAUAUUGGACAAUGGGCGAAAGCCUGAUCCAGCAAUGCCGCGUGAGUGAUGAAGGCCUUAGGGUUGUAAAGCUCUUUUACCCAGGAUGAUAAUGACAGUACCGGGAGAAUAAGCUCCGGCUAACUCCGUG
rnacentral:rRNA from 1 species